UACAGAGGUCUCAAGCGUUGUUCGGAUUCAUUGGGCGUAAAGGGUGCGUAGGCGGCGCGGUAAGUCGGGUGUGAAAUCCCUCGGCUUAACCAAGGAAGUGCAUCCGAAACUGCAGAGCUUGAGUACUUAAGAGGAUCGCGGAAUUCCCGGUGUAGAGGUGAAAUUCGUAGAUAUCGGGAGGAACACCAGUGGCGAAGGCGGCGAUCUGGGAAGAUACUGACGCUGAGGUGCGAAAGCGUGGGGAGCAAACAGG
rnacentral:rRNA from 1 species